AAGCACAAAAUACAGAUAUACAAAUACAAAAUAGCAAACACAAUGUCAGGGGGUUCGUAUAAAAAAGCAAAAUAGACAGUCAAUUAUAGAAUCACAUGAUAUUGAACAGGGAACAUAGGUUUAUGGUUUUGACAGCUUUUUGAUCUUGAGAAUGUUGUAUGGUUUUAACAUAUUGUUUGGUUUAAUUUAAAAAGUACCGAAACGAUGGUUUUGCGUUAGAAAAUUUCGACUUAUGUAUAUGAAAUUUAGCCAAUAAUAUCAAAUAAAAUUCGUUUGCCCUGUGCAUGGGGUACUUAAAGAAACCGAACAAUAUUUUCUCGUAACAAAGAGAGAACUCAGAAAAGAUAAAGGAAACAACAAAAACACAAAAUUCAGGAAGUUAGCAUUGUCUCGUGCACAUAGUCAAUUCUCAAAGCAUAUGCACCGCAGCAUCAGCUACCAUUCAUCUUCAUGGAGUAGUGAGUGACAGGCGUCAGGUCACGGCCCCUUAAUUUGCUGUUCAGCCCAGAGGCGGGAAUUUUGGCGAACGAGUGACGGGAGGCGAAAUCAAUAUGGCGGCAGCGACGAGCGUUAGCAUAACCGAAGUGGAUUAUUUACUUAGUUGUAUAUUUUCUUCUAUAUCUUUGGACGAAACGGUUAAGAGACUGGGACCACAUCAUCGAAACGAUGUUCAAAUAACACAAACGACAGAAUCGUAAAGUUUGUGUUAUGUGGUUUCAACGAAAGGACUAGCUAACGGCAAGCAGGAAAUUCACUUUACUGUGUCCCAUGCCUGCUUUUUGGAGGAGACACAGCUUGAAUUCAACAAGGAAUUGUGGAUUUGAAGCAUUUAUCUGACAAAAUUAGGAAACACGAAUGAAGCACAAGUCACAUUGGAAAUAGGGUAAAGUUAACAUCGCCUGCCACCUGGAUGAAGGACACCGCAUUGCUUUAGACUCUAAAGCACUUGGUGUCGUUUGACUUCAACGACAGGGUGAUUACCGUAACAUGUUUGCAUCCCAGAAAACUCGAUGUUGUGAUCUUCACUUUAAAUAAGUGGCUGUUUGAGAGUGAAAAACUCCACUGUGCAUGGGGAGGAACUACUGAGGAGUGGAGGAGAGACAGUGUUUCGCAGCUUGGGCUGAUGGAUCCAGGUAAAAGUCUCAUCGAGAUUUAAUUUUCCAAGAGAGACCUGGCCGUCAUGGAAGCAAAGGUUACAACAAAUACAAUAGACCAACAGAAGAAGCGAGCACAAUUUAAAGCAAAAGAGCCAAUAAAGAGCAGUCAUGUCGGAGGUGAUGUGAUGACAUCUGAUAAACAAGAAGUCAAGCUGCUGCUGUUUGAACUAGCUCAAGGUGAUAUACUUGUUUUAUAGUGCUAUGCUCUCACUUGUAUUCUGUAUGCUGCUUUUGCUUCAGCUUAUUUUUUUUACCAUCUCAUCUUCCCAAGGUCAAAACUACUCGAGGCUGAAAUUGAAAUUGUCACAAUAUUUUAAGUAUUACUAUUCGAAAUGUAAUUUGAAACGCACAUUGAAAAGCUUGUAUCCAACCUGAACUUUAAAUUAGGUUUCUUUUUAAAGAAUAAAUGACAGGAAUGCAUGGAUCUGUACUGCUUUUUAUUAAUGGGUCAGGCUGCUGCUGCUGCUAGUGUUGUAAUGGGAUGGGGGAUAUUAUCCUGGCACACUCUGGGCAUCACAGCCUACCUGAGUACUGUUGCUGACCACGGUGAACAUCUUCUGACAGCUGCUUCCAGCAGGACAACGAACAAUGUCAUAAAACUGAAACUGUCUCAUGAACAUGGCAAUGUUCACGGCAGUGUACUCAAAUGUGCUCCACAGUCACCAGAUCUUUUGGUAAGUAACUACAAACGAUUAUGAGGCUGCAAAAUGAAUACAAAUGGGUUCAAAGAGACAAAAUGAGCACAGAUGGAAAAACAGUGCAAAGUAACACAAAAUGAAACAAAGAGACUUAAUAACCUUAAAGAGAUGCACAACAACAGCAAGGCUAAAAACUCAUUUCAUCUUUUAGUCUAGGUGAAUUCUCUCCUGUUGUCCCAAAACUCAAGACAUACUCUGGCACCUCAACAAAGACUUGAGCGUGGCUCUCAUGCGGAGAUGCCCGGCGUUACUAUGUGGCAAUGACUUGCAAUUUUUGCAAUUGCAUUUUUUUUCUUGCUGUGAUCAAACACAGAAGAUAUAAAAAAACAUGCUAAUUAACAACUUUCAUGUAGUUUCUCACCCAGUUUGUGAGGUUAAAAGGAACCCUGGUGCUUUUGUCCAGCUCAGUUUGGUGAAAACCAGAGCGACUGGUCUGCACCACCACCAAGUUUGCACUUAGAGUUGGCAGUGAUUUUGAAAUUAAUUCUACAAUUAGUUUUUCAGAACGGUGUUUUGCACACUAAUCUGUCAAAUGGAGAUUGUUGUCAUCACAUGUAGGCGACCUAAUGGUCUGUUAGUCUUCCUGGACCUGGUAACUCCAGCAAAGAGCGUCUGAGCCAGACGGAUCCAAUUUAAGCUGCUUGACAUCUCUGGCCACUUCAUGACUUUUUAAUGUCUUCUAUUCCGUUUCUAUUUUAUAAUUCAGGAACACAGCAGUACACUAAAGGGAGGUGUCAUUAAGGUGUUCAGUUUGUAGGACGACUGGCUUUUGACUCCAUCUACUGGUCAUUUGCUUGGCUCUCAUGUUUAUAUGUAUAUACUGUAUCUCCAGGAAGUGAAGGAAAUAAAAGAAAUAUGCAGUAACGAUAUGCAAAUCGGAAAUCACUUCAAAGGAGAGCGCGUGGAGUAGGCAGAAUAAAAAAUCAAAAAUAAUGUCCGGUCCUGGCGAGCGAGACCAAAGACUUGAGUGUGCUCUCAUACUGAGCGGUCUGCCUUUCCUCAGGUGACACUUCUGUAUUCUCACAGCAGACAUCACAGAGGAAACGCAGCAGUUCUCUUCCCCCUUUGCUGUGCUGCCGCGUGCCCUGCUCCACCC